CAGCGAGACUCCAUCUCAAAAAAUAAAAUAAAAUAAAACUAAAAAUAAUAUGGAAAAGUAGGUCCAUUCUGUCUUCCCAGAAGUGUAAGCCCUGUGCUGUUGUUAUUUUUACAUGUCCUAAUUUCCUACUAGGCUCUUGAGUAAAUGUAGACUCAGAGAGGUUAAAUAAUUUGUUCAAUAUUAUACUGCCAGUGAUUCAGCAAGAACUGGAUACAAGGCAUUUGUCAAAAGCUCACCCUCUUUUUCAUGACCCUAUACUGCUAAAUAAAUGUUUACUGGAAGAAUGAACCAAUGAAAGCAAGUUCCCUUCCUUAGUCACAAUAGUUCUGUGAUUUUUGUUUUAAAACUCAGGAUAUAGUGAUGUAUUUCUCGUUUUUUAUCAUGAUCAAAAAUGCUUGAAGUCUAAGAGCUUAGAAACCACUAGUCAUUGCCAUUUAGGAAAUUUCCUAGAAUCCAACUGUGUGGUUUCUGCCAAUAAUUUAGGUUUUAUGAACACUGGUUGUACAGUAUCGGGCUCUGCUCACCUCUCAACCUGUAGACUGAGACUCACGUGAAGUUAUCAGGAGAACUAAAUAAAGAAAACUGCAGGGGACUGUAAGUGAAAAUAUGAGAGACAAACUAAUCCUCAACACUCUUUAAUAUAGGGCUUUCCAGAUGAAAGCAGUAACAAAUGCUGUAAGUGUGCAAGUUCCUGCGAUGGUUGAUCUUACGUGUCAAUCUGGCCAGGCUAUGGUGCCUAGUUGUGUAGUCAAACAGUAGUCUAGAUGUUGCUGUGAAGACUCUUUAAAAUGUGAUUAACAUUUAUAAUCACUGGACUUUUAGUAAAGCUCAUAAAUGUCCAUGGUGUGGUGAGCCUCAUCUAAUCAGUUGAAGGCCAUAAGAGCAAAAUCUGAUUCCUCAAAGAAGAAGGAAUUUUGCCUGAAUUUGCAGCCUGCAGGCCUACCCUGUGGAUUUAGGACAUGCCAGUCUCCACAGUACUGUGGUGUGUGUGUUGCCAUAUAUGUAUCUGUGUGUGUGUGUGUGUGUGCACAUCUGUAUGGAGAACCCUAAUACAGCACCUUACACAGCACACAGUACCUGGUCUGUAAGAACAAGACAAUAAAUUUUAGCUGAAUCUGCAUCAGCUUUCUGUUUAUACUGCUUUAGAAGUAUCCACUCAUUAUUUGAAGAAGUGUGUGUUAGAUGCUUGCCUUAGGCAGAACAUUAUAUGUUCUCCAAAGGUAUAAAAUUGUUUUCUUUCCUUAAGUAGUUUCCAACUUUUUGUUUCCAAGGCAACAAAAAACAUUGUCUCAUUCAGUUUUCUGUUGCUAUAAUGGAAUACCAGAGACUGGGUAAUUUACAAAGAAUAGAAGUUUACUGGCUCCAGGUUCUAGAGGCUGGGAACACCAAGGGCAUGGCAGCAGCAUCUGGUGGGGUUCUGUGCUACAUUACCCCAUGGUGGAAGGGCAGAGGGCAGAGGGCAGAAGAGGAAAGGCAGAAGAGAAAGACAGCAUGGGAGACAGCAAGAAAAUGGAGGCCAAAACUUAUCCUUUUAUCAGGAAUCCACUCCCACAAGAUUGCACAGAGUUCUUGAUAUUGAAGAGUGAACCAUGUUCAAGGAAGAAGAGAUCACCCCAUAAAACCCUUCCAGCUUGUGUUACAAUCAGAUGCCUCUAAGAUGGACAAAAAAGGCACACAGAGAUAUUCCCUACUCAGGCUCUGGUCAAAUCUCUCUCCACUUAAUGGAGCAUGGCUUUCAACUGCACCUGGAGCAUGUUUGUAAACAAUGCCAUCAGGAAUAAAAGUGUUUGAAGCUGAAGCUGGGUCUUCCAUCCAAAUGUGGAAAGCGUGCCAGAGGACUGUCUUUCCCAUUCCCGCCCCACCUGCACAGCCAUAGACAAAGCUCAGCUCCGGGAUAAGGUAAAUGUCAAGAGCCACACAGCAGCAUGCCUUCCCUUCAAGACAGAACAAAGGGUGGUUUUCUUGGCCAACCUACUGCACAGGAGGAAGCCAAGCAACACCAUUGAUUUAAGCCCCAAGGAAAACCUAAAAUCUUUGGCCACUUCAGGUUGUAAAUCUGGCAUCAGAUGUCAGAAACUUGUGUGAAAACAGAGACUACUAGGUUUUACUAUGGCUUGAAAGGAAUAACCCAAAGAAAAGCCUGACCCCAAAAAAGGACUGUCCCAGGCUCAGGGCCCCACAGCGACCACAUGCCUGGGCAGGGAACUGCCGGGAAGGUAGCCCAGAAUGGUCACAUCUCACUCUGCAGCCCCCUCACCGGACAAGGACACCUCCUGUCAGGUUCCGAGUUCUAGUCAUUCUUCCUUGUCUCUGAGAGCUGUCCAUCUUUUCAUACCAUUUCUAUUGCCACCCGUGGUUCAGCCUGAGGUGCCUCGGAGGACUCACUGGCCAGGCCCCAUGGGCACUCUACACACAUGAUUGAGCAAGACCUCUAAAUGAGACCACAAAGCAGGCCCAUUUCCUUCAGGUGACUGACAUGGGAACUCAGGCUGAGAGCAACUGACCAAGCAGACACAGCUAAAAAGAUGGAGCCAGGAUUCCAGCCAGGAUCUGCCUGACUUUAAGUAAUAUGUGUUUCCCACUAAACCCAUGUCAUGGCUUUCCCCAGCUCUCGAAGCUUUGAUGGCCCCACUGCCUACUGAAUUCAGUCUUAGCUGCCAAUCCAGGGGCCAAGCCCUCCGUGCCCUGCCCUGCCCUACUCUUCAGCCUUGCCCAGCUUUUCCCCUCCAUGAACAUCCUCAAGUCCCCCCCACACUCAAGACUCCCCAGGAGUGUCCCUUUGCUCAUCUGCAAUGUCCUUACUACCAGCCCAUCUGCCCUUUCCAAGUCCUGCUCACUCAUCAAUACUUCUGUGACCCCCUGCCGUGAGAACACAUUCUCUGCUAAACCCCUGCUCUUCCAGCGCACUUUCCUCAGAGUUAUGUACAGAGAGGGUCUCCCCCUGCUAGACUGAGCCACCUCGGAGGAAGAGCCUGUGCCUGGAUUUUCACAUCUUUGUAUGUCCUUCCAUCCUUAGCAAAGGCACCUGGAAUGUAAUCAAAAUCACCAAAUAUGUGUUGGAUAGAUGAAUAGGUGGAUGGAUUAUAAAUAAAUAAAGUAUUUAUCUAGGUUGUUACCUCUCA
rnacentral:lncRNA from 1 species